CCAAUAGCGUAUAUUAAAGUUGUUGCAGUUAAAAAGCUCGUAGUUGAAUUUCGGGAUCAAUUUGCUGGUCGUGCCUUCGGUACGCACUGGUAUUAUUGGUUUCUCCUUUCUGAUGAAUCGCGAUGUCAUUAAUUUGGUGUCGUGGGGAAUCAGGACCGUUACUUUGAAAAAAUUAGAGUGUUUAAAGCAGGCUCACGCUUGAAUACAUUAGCAUGGAAUAAUGAAAUAGGACGGUUGAUUCUAUUUUGUUGGUUUCUAGGAUCGACGUAAUGAUUAAUAGGGAUAGUUGGGGGCAUUAGUAUUCAAUUGUCAGAGGUGAAAUUCUUGGAUUUAUUGAAGACUAACUACUGCGAAAGCAUUUGCCAAGGAUGUUUUCAUUAAUCAAGAACGAAAGUUAGGGGAUCGAAGACGAUCAGAUACCGUCGUAGUCUUAACCAUAAACUAUGCCGACUAGGGAUCGGAUGAUGUUAAUUUUUUAAUGACUCAUUCGGCGCCUUACG
rnacentral:rRNA from 1 species